rnacentral:rRNA from 1 species
UACGUAGGCAGCGAGCGUUGUUCGGAAUUACUGGGCGUAAAGGGUGUGUAGGCGGUGCUCUAAGUUCGGCGUGAAAUCUCCUGGCUCAACUGGGAGGGUGCGCCGGAAACUGGAGUGCUUGAGCGUGGGAGAGGAAAGCGGAAUUCCUGGUGUAGCGGUGAAAUGCGUAGAUAUCAGGAGGAACACCGGUGGCGAAGGCGGGUCUCUGGGCCGUAACUGACGCUGAGGAGCGAAAGCGUGGGGAGCGAACAGG